UCUCGCAGCAGAACGCCUGGAUGAGGGUGAAAUGGAUCUGCAGAGCCACGUCCCUGUCGUCGUCCUCGUCUGCAGCCAGCAGGCACAGUACCACGUUGUCGGGGUCGCUGCGGGCAGCGGGGCAGCGACAUGUUAGAGGCCCUCCCACGGGCUGUCCAUCUAAGGAAAGCAUUGCUCUCCUGAGUCACCGAGUAUCCAAAUGACUGACUCACACACUUGCAAAUGUGCCGGCAGUCAGAUAUUCUUUAUUUCAAGUUCAUGCCUGUCAUGGGGGUUGCAAAACAGCACCACCAGAGGACCUUCUUCCUGUAGCUGCAAUCAUCACAGAAGUCAGGACACAGCUCCAGAAGUCACACACCUACAGCUGGCCAGUCCCCACAUGUCUGUCAUCACAGCCACUCUCCAGUGGAGACUUCAAGAUCAUAACUUUCAGGCUUCUAUGAGCUACAGAAAUCUCACUAUAUAUCCCUGGCUGCCUGACUGGACUGGAACUCUCUAUGUAGUCUAAGCUAGCCAUUAACUCACAGAGAUCUGCAUCCCUACUGGGACUAAUGGUGCAUGACACCACACCUGGCAAAAUAAAUAUUUUUUAAAAAGAUUGGUAAAUGAAUGUAUAUUUAUGUAUAAAGGUUGCUUAUAUUAGAUACUAUAUUUUUUCUCCUCUCCUGAACUAAAGUUAACCUACAAAUGAUUGGUCCCAGCUGAUUUUGACGAGAGUGCUUCUUAUAAUUGUUGGUUUCUUUGCUGGAAGUCCCUGUUUUGUUGAAAUCUCGAGGGCAGGGUUUGGUGUUCCAUCUUAAGCUCUCAGACUCGGAGUAGUGCAGCCAGGAGCCACAUUCACUCACUGAGCCCUGAAAGCAUGGGAUGCCCAUCCAUGCUGCGAAACCUUACAAGUGGUUCAACUCUAUGAUGAAGGUCUACUAUGUCAGCUGAGGUUAUUAUACAUGUAAAACUAUCAAAUCCUGAGAAAAGAGUUUUUAAAAAAAAACUCAAUUUAUAUAAAGAUUAUUUACUGGAAUGGUGACAUUUCAAAUAUACUUGGUCUAUAAAAUAUAUUAAAAAUAA